CACGUAGGGUGCGAGCGUUGUCCGGAAUCAUUGGGCGUAAAGAGCUCGUAGGCGGUUUGUCGCGUCUGCCGUGAAAGUCCGGGGCUCAACUCCGGAUCUGCGGUGGGUACGGGCAGACUAGAGUGAUGUAGGGGAGACUGGAAUUCCUGGUGUAGCGGUGAAAUGCGCAGAUAUCAGGAGGAACACCGAUGGCGAAGGCAGGUCUCUGGGCAUUAACUGACGCUGAGGAGCGAAAGCAUGGGGAGCGAACAGG
rnacentral:rRNA from 1 species